UACGGAGGGUGCAAGCGUUAAUCGGAAUUACUGGGCGUAAAGCGUGCGCAGGCGGUUUGUUAAGUCUGUUGUGAAAUCCCCGAGCUCAACUUGGGAAUUGCAAUGGAUACUGGCAGGCUGGAGUAUGGUAGAGGAAGGUGGAAUUCCCGGUGUAGCAGUGAAAUGUGUAGAGAUCGGGAGGAACACCAGUGGCGAAGGCGGCCUUCUGGACCAAUACUGACGCUCAUGCACGAAAGCGUGGGGAGCAAACAGG
rnacentral:rRNA from 1 species